rnacentral:tRNA from 1 species
GGACUGUGGCUCAGUGGCAGAGCGUUUGCCUAGCAUGCAUGAGGCACUGGAUUUGAUUCCUGGCACCA